rnacentral:rRNA from 1 species
AUUGAACGCUGGCGGCAGGCCUAACACAUGCCAGUCGCACGAGUGGCGGACGGGUGAGUAAUGUCUGGGAAACUGCCUGUUGGAGGGGGCUAACUACUGGAAACGGUAGCUAAUACCGCAUACCAUCGGAUGUGCCCAGAUGGGAUUAGCUAGUAGGUGGGGUAAAGGCCUACCAAGGCGACGAUCCUGAACUGGUCUGAGAGGAUGAUCAGUCACACUGGAACUGAGACAUGGUCCAGGCUCCUACGGGAGGCAGCAGUGGGGAAUAUUGGACAAUGGGCGAAAGCCUGAUGCAGCCAUGCCGCGUGUGUGAAGAAGGUCUUCGGAUUGGAAAGCACUUUAAGUUGGGAGGCGGUACCAACAGAAUAAGCACCGGCUAACUUCGUGCCAGCAGCCGCGGUAAUAC